AAAAGAAAAUGAAAAGGAACAAUAAGUGAAACACGGGCAAUGAUUUAGUCUCUUGAAAAUGCACAUUAAUCAUCUGACAGCCCUCAGCUUUACUGAACUGAAAGUUCGUUUCUCAUGGCAAAGUUAACUUUGUGACCAGCGCCGGGAGGCGAAGCUGGAGCAGGGCUGGCAGCAAUACUCAGGAGCGGCAACUGCAUGAGUGUAUUGAGAAGCAGAGUAUUCACAAAAACUCCUAACGGACCCAUAAAUACCCAGCUUAGCUGCUGGUUUAAUCACUCGCAAAGACAUUGCCUGACUCUUUUAAAGCCGCGAGUAUCUGAAGUUUUGGAAGCGAUUGUGAAUAAAUACUUCACUGCCCGCUCACAGCGACGUUUCCCCGGCGUUAGCUCAUUAGAGUGCCUGAAAGAGACUCGACAGAAAAUAAGUUAAAUGCAACUUAAAUCAUCACCCCAUUCGACGCUAAAAGCAACACGAAAGGCGAGGCGUUCACCAAAAGGUUGCAAAAGGCGUCAGCUGCACCGCAGUUGGGAGUGGAGGGAGCGGGAUUGCGGGAUGGGAGCGGCCAGCGUGGCUGGGAUCCCAGUCCCCAGUUGUGGUGGUACUUUUUUUGCUUUUUUUCCUCCACACGAUUUUUUUUUUUUUUUUGGUGACUUCGAAAGAUGUCACGGCGAAGUGAAAUCUUUGUGGAGGGCUGAUCAUGCAUUCAGACUGUAGUGUUUUCAAAAUGUGAUGUUUUGCAAUGAUGACAUUAGAGUAGCAACCAAGGGUCCGAGACAGCAACGCCUGCUGCAGCUGGGCUUCGCUUUGAAAUGCCCAAGACAAUGGGGGCCACUGUUCUUCAUCGCUUCGCCUUUCCAUUCCAUUUGCAUAGUCUGUUCUGCCUGAUUGACCAGCUUGGGCUGUCCAAGGGACCAGCAUUGUUCACAGAUCACUUCAAGAUGGCACAGAUGACAAGAUUCAGGUAGAAAAUGCACGUGUUCACAGUGACUCGACUGCACAACAUCUUGGGGUUUGCAUUAUUUCCUACAAUCUGUCAUCGGGGAGGAAGGGGGACCAUGACAAAUCAUGAAGCUUUCACCUGCCCUGUGACUGAAAAGCCAUUUGGGGGAAGGUAAAAUAAAAGGUAAUACGGAACGUUAAUCUGAUCACGUGAUCAAGGAAUUACUCAAGACUUUCCCAAAAGAUAAAGAUUCCCAGUGAGCAAGGAAAGAAGGAGAGACGACGUUUGAGGUGUAUGUAACUCGGAAGCACUGUAGAUGGUUUCAGACUUUUCCUCACCAGGUGGGAAUUGUGUUUUCGUGUCUUACUUCGUUUUGAACUCCCCUGCUUGGGGUUUUAGAUCUUUCCUGGCCUUGGGCUACUUGUGUUUGUAGCUCCAAAACUGAACAGCCAUUCAUUCUUCUAAUCUGAUUAGGAUUGAACUAUCCACUCACUAGUGGCUUUAGCAGGACAAUCUUCCUAUGGACUUUUUCUGCAUUGGAGAGAUUAAAAAAAAAAAAAAAACAAAACCAAAACCAACAAAAACAAUCACAUCAAAACAAACCCUUCUGGAAUCUGUGCGAGACAAUUUUUGGGUAGGAAAUAAACUUCUCCCUACUCCCUCUGCACCCCUCCUGCAACUUCACCCCCCUCCUUGGAUGUAUGGUGCCUUUGUUCACCACUAGUUCCUAGUUGCUAUGGAGUUUUACGCCUUGGUAAACUAUAUUUCACCUCCUCCCGGUGAAAGCUAUUCUUCCCCUAAAUGCACACUUUGCAGACUCCGGUCCUUCCUCCCGGUGUCGGUCGCACUUCCUCAGCCCACGCUGCUCUGCCCCGGGCUAAAGCCGCGUUUUCCCACUCGGAUCUCAGCUCACCCUCUAGCACUUGCCCAAUUGUUUGACCACGGACAGAUGCUCUCCUGCUUCUCCUCGGUUUUAUUGUCCUUCAUUUUAUUUUUUUUAAGGUUUCUGAGGGACAGUCCCUCUAUCUGAGAGCCGCAGCUAACCGUGGCACACGUCUUCUCCAAAUCAAUGAGAGGUGUCCGGGCUGAAAGCGUGGACAAUGGGAUUUUACCGAGCAUGAAGCAUAUUACCCCCAAACCCGUCCUGACAGGCCGUGCUAAAGCAUUUGAAUGACUUUCUUGAAACGAGACCCUUCUGAAGGCUCCUCCCUCCAGAGAAAUACACCAUCCAGGAGAGAUAGGCAUGAAAGUGCACGGGGGCACCCAAGGCUUUGUAAAUUGGGGGUGGGGUGCGCUUCCUUUGUCACAAAGCCUCACUGCUUCCACCCCAAAGCCAGGGACCAGUGUGCUUUACCUUGGGGGCUGCCCCUCAUUCACCACAAGCUCCGGACAUGUUAAGGGAUGGGAUUUUCACUUUAAAACUUCCAGACUUUUUGAAGGCACAUACCGCGGUGUGGUUCACCUCAGUCAGCUACCAAUCUCUAGCCUACCCUACAGAGGCAUCUCCAGGUAUGUCCUGGUUUUAGACAUAAAGACUGGGAAGGACUUCCAGGUUUCCUGCUAGCAUUUUGGCCAUGCAGCUACAGGAGUGGGCUCCAUAUAUCACACUGCUGUUACACCAAAGAUCCUCAAAAAUUUAGUUUGUUAAUCUUUACUUUUGCAAAGUUUCCUCCAACAGCAGAGUGGUUCAGUGCAUGCAAAAGUCAAUGGGCUUUCGCUUCAGCCUCUAAAGAAAGCCUCCAGUUACAUCUGUACCUGCACACCAGGUUCCCCAGCUCCUCUGCCAGCUGUCCCGCUGCUCGGGGCCGCCCUAGUGUUCCAGUUUUUCCUGACACUAUUGAGCAGAGGCACGGCGGGGCUGGAGCCAGCAGGCAGGCAAGGCCCUGUCCUCUCCGCACCCACAAUCUGUUAUCCCUCCUACCCCCGAGCACCGGGUCGGCUCCCGCCGCUCCCUCACGCCCCUGGCUGCAGAUACUCGGUUCGCACCAGCUGCCCGGCUCGGAGCUCUGCAAGACCAUGUCCUGCCUCGUUUUCUGUUUUGCCUCCUCUUUCUUUUGGCCUUGCCUCUUCAGAAGUGACUUUUCAGCCAAGCUUGGCUGUCUGACUCCUCUCCGCCUCGGCCGUGUGAAACCUCCUGCCUCAGACUUCAGUUUCCCCACGGAAAGCAGCAUCCAUGCCUAACCUCAGAGGGAGAGCCCCUUCGUCUUGGCCGGUCCCCUCCUGUCCCAGCCUGGCUGUCCGGGGCGCCAGCGCUCUGCGGAGCUGCGGGAGUGCCUAGGCGCUGGGGGCACGGAGGGGCAGCGGGGCGCGACGGCGCCGCGUUUUGCAGAGCGGGAACACGCGUGGCCGCAGGUGCCUGGGGUUUCACUCUGCGCUUUCACAAGGGAUGGCUCCGAACCGGGCCAGGCCCGUUGGCUUCAGAUCCCCUUCGGUUCGGACGAUGUGCACAGAGACGCUCGGUGCUGCUCGUGGGGUAGCGCCGAACCACCUCGCUUUUGGGGGUGCUGAGUUUUCUGGUAGAG